GGAUAAUAGAUCAAUGGUAGAGUGCAUGCUUAGCAUGCAUGAGGUCCUGGGUUCAAUCCCCAGUACCUCCA
rnacentral:tRNA from 1 species